rnacentral:rRNA from 1 species
CCUACGGGUGGCAGCAGUAGGGAAUCUUCCGCAAUGGGCGAAAGCCUGACGGAGCAACGCCGCGUGAGUGAUGAAGGUCUUCGGAUCGUAAAACUCUGUUAUUAGGGAAGAACAAAUGUGUAAGUAACUAUGCACGUCUUGACGGUACCUAAUCAGAAAGCCACGGCUAACUACGUGCCAGCAGCCGCGGUAAUACGUAGGUGGCAAGCGUUAUCCGGAAUUAUUGGGCGUAAAGCGCGCGUAGGCGGUUUUUUAAGUCUGAUGUGAAAGCCCACGGCUCAACCGUGGAGGGUCAUUGGAAACUGGAAAACUUGAGUGCAGAAGAGGAAAGUGGAAUUCCAUGUGUAGCGGUGAAAUGCGCAGAGAUAUGGAGGAACACCAGUGGCGAAGGCGACUUUCUGGUCUGUAACUGACGCUGAUGUGCGAAAGCGUGGGGAUCAAACAGGAUUAGAUACCCCUGUAGUC